CUGGCGGCAGGCUUAACACAUGCAAGUUGAACGGGAUUCGAUGGUAGCUUGCUAUCAUUAAUGAGAGUAGCGCACUGGUGAGUAACACGUGGGAACAUGCCUUUUGGUGGGGGACAACAGAUGGAAACGUCUGCUAAUACCGCAUAAGCCCUGAGGGGGAAAGAUUUAUUGCCGAAAGAUUGGCCCGCGGAAGAUUAGGUAGUAGGUGGGGUAAUGGCCUACCUAGCCGACGAUCUAUAGCUGGUCUGAGAGGACGAUCAGCCACAUUGGAACUGAGACACGGUCCAGACUCCUACGGGAGGCAGCAGUGAGGAAUAUUGGGCAAUGGAGGGAACUCUGACCCAGCCAUGCCGCCGUGAGUGAAGAAGGUUUUCGGAUUGUAAAGCUCUUUCAGAUGAGAAGAUAAUGACGGUAUCAUCAGAAGAAGCACCGGCUAACUUCGUGCCAGCAGCUGC
rnacentral:rRNA from 1 species